rnacentral:lncRNA from 1 species
CUACGCCACUCCACAGAGUUUCAGAAUGGGCUGGACCACAAGUACCCACUUUGGGGGAUUUCCAGUGACAGUCCUACUCUCACUCCAUCACAUCGCUUCUAAAAUCUGAGUCACAUGGUUCAAAUUUCACAGUACAAAGUGUGUUCUUCAGAUCUGGGGUUCUCUCCAAAAUGGAUAAUCAUUAUUGAUUUUGUAAUGCAAUGCCAAGACCAUCAGUAAGG